rnacentral:rRNA from 1 species
AUUGAACGCUGGCGGAAUGCUUUACACAUGCAAGUCGAACGGCAGCACGGGAGCUUGCUCCUGGUGGCGAGUGGCGAACGGGUGAGUAACAUAUCGGAACGUAUCCAAUAAUGGGGGAUAACUAAUCGUAAGGUUGGCUAAUACCGCAUAUGCACUGUGGGGGAAAGCUGGGGUUCUUCGGACCUAGCGUUGAUGGAGCGGCCGAUAUCUGAUUAGCUAGUUGGGGGGGUAAAGGCUCACCAAGGCGACGAUCAGUAGUUGGUCUGGGAGUACGACCAGCCACACGGGAACUGAGACACGGUCCAGACUCCUACGGGAGGCAGCAGUGGGGAAUUUUGAACAAUGGGCGCAAGCCUGAUCCAGCCAUUCCGCGUGAGUGAAGAAGGCCUUCGGGUUGUAAAGCUCUUUCGCAAGGGAAGAAACGAUAGUGACGAAUAAUCACUGUUAAUGACGGUACCUUGAUAAGAAGCACCGGCUAACUACGUGCCAGCAGCCGCCGUAAGAC